rnacentral:rRNA from 1 species
AUUGAACGCUGGCGGCAGGCUUAACACAUGCAAGUCGAGCGGAGAUGAGGUGCUUGCACCUUAUCUUAGCGGCGGACGGGUGAGUAAUGCUUAGGAAUCUGCCUAUUAGUGGGGGACAACAUUCCGAAAGGAGUGCUAAUACCGCAUACGUCCUACGGGAGAAAGCAGGGGAUCUUCGGACCUUGCGCUAAUAGAUGAGCCUAAGUCGGAUUAGCUAGUUGGGGGGGUAAAGGCCUACCAAGGCGACGAUCUGUAGCGGGUCUGAGAGGAUGAUCCGCCACACUGGGACUGAGACACGGCCCAGACUCCUACGGGAGGCAGCAGUGGGGAAUAUUGGACAAUGGGGGGAACCCUGAUCCAGCCAUGCCGCGUGUGUGAAGAAGGCCUUAUGGUUGUAAAGCACUUUAAGCGAGGAGGAGGCUACUGAGACUAAUACUCUUGGAUAGUGGACGUUACUCGCAGAAUAAGCACCGGCUAACUCUGUGCCAGCAGCCGCCGUAA